CAGGCCUAACACAUGCAAGUCGAACGGAGUAGCAAUACUUAGUGGCAAACGGGUGCGUAACGCGUAAGCAACCUGCCCUCAACUGGGGGAUAGCCCGGCGAAAGCUGGGGUAAACCCGCACGGUCCUUUCUUAUCACCUGGUAAGCUAGGUAAACAUUAAUGGGUUGAGGAGGGGCUUGCGGAUGAUUAGCUAGUUGGCAGGGUAACGGCCUACCAAGGCGAUGAUCAUGAGGGGUGAUGAGAGGAUUGGCCCCCACAUGGUGACUGAGAUACGGACCCAACGCCUACGGGAGGCAGCAGGAGGGAAGAUUGGGCAAUGGGCGCAAGCCUGACCCAGCCAUGCCGCGUGCAGGAUGAAGGCGCGCAGCGUUGGAAACUGCUUUGAGCAAGGAAGAACUGUGGACCUGCGGGAUUGCUUGACGGAACUUGAGGAAGAAGCACCGGCGAACGCCGUGCCAGCAGCCGCG
rnacentral:rRNA from 1 species